GACGAACGCUGGCGGCGUGCUUAACACAUGCAAGUCGAACGGAAAGGCCCUGCUUGCAGGGUACUCGAGUGGCGAACGGGUGAGUAACACGUGGGUGAUCUGCCCUGCACUUCGGGAUAAGCCUGGGAAACUGGGUCUAAUACCGGAUAGGAGCCAUUUUUAGUGUGAUGGUUGGAAAGUUUUUUCGGUGUAGGGUGAGCUCGCGGCCUAUCAGCUUGUUGGUGGGGUAAUGGCCUACCAAGGCGGCGACGGGUAGCCGGCCUGAGAGGGUGGACGGCCACAUUGGGACUGAGAUACGGCCCAGACUCCUACGGGAGGCAGCAGUGGGGAAUAUUGCACAAUGGGCGCAAGCCUGAUGCAGCGACGCCGCGUGGGGGAUGACGGCCUUCGGGUUGUAAACUCCUUUCGCUAGGGACGAAGCUUUUUGUGACGGUACCUAGAUAAGAAGCACCGACUAACUACGUG
rnacentral:rRNA from 1 species